GGAUCGAUGAUGAGUUCCCAAAAAAAAACAUUCCUUGGAAAGCUGAACAAAAUGAGUGAAAGCUCAUACCGUCGCUCUCAUCGGAACUGAGGUCC